CGUACCCCAAACCGACACAGGUGGUCAGGUAGAGAAUACCGAGGCGUACGAGUGAACUAUGGUUAAGGAACUCGGCAAAAUGCCCCCGUAACUUCGGGAGAAGGGGGACCCACACACCGUCAACCGGCUUGCCCGGGGCAGCGGGAGUGGGUGGCACAAACCAGUGAGAAGCGACUGUUUACUAAAAACACAGGUCCGUGCGAAGUCGCAA
rnacentral:rRNA from 1 species